ACCAAUUUUGUAUUUUAGGCAGAUAUUGGACUUUCUAUGGACAUUCAAGGAACUGAAGUUGCAAAAGAAAGCUCAGAUAUCAUUAUUUUGGACGACGACUUUGCCUCAGUUGUCAAGGUUGUUCGUUGGGGACGCUCUGUCUAUGCAAAUAUUCAGAAAUUUAUUCAAUUCCAGCUCACUGUUAAUGUUGCUGCACUUGUAAUGAAUGUUGUGGCUGCUGUGUCCUCAGUGAUGUCCCUCUAAAUGCAGUGCAGCUUUUAUGGGUUAACCUGAUAAUGGAUACUCUUGGAGCACUUGCUUUGGCUACUGAACCUCCUACAGACCACCUCAUGCAUAGAAUGCCUGUUGGCCGGAGAGAACCUCUUAUAACAAACAUUAUGUGGAGGAAUUUACUCAUACAGG